UUGCUCUCUGCGACUGAGAGCGAACAAGCGCUCUGCGAAUUGUCUUAGUGGGAGAACAUCGCCGCCGGUGGUGUCUCGGGACUAUGAUGAAGAAGCCGAUGAAUGAAGAUCCCAUUGUUCGAUUCCAACUAAAUUUAAGUCUUAAUUGUCUUGGGCGGAGAAGCAAAAUCAGCGGAUUCCGAGAGCGAUGGAGGAUCGGAUCAAAGAAAAGACGACGAGCCCUUCUUCUUCUUCUUUGGGUUUUUUUUAGACAAGAUUGCAAAACCAUGAUCGAGACGUGUAUUUAUGUCUGAAGCCAGAACUAAGGGGAGAGAUUGUGUCUGCUACAUGUUCUUGCUUCCUCCUCAACCACCAAUUCAUCAACUCCUCCACGCGACCAAGUAGAUUCAGAACACGGUCGCCGGCGUUCCUACCGUACCAGCAUCAAUCGAUCUGAUUUUGAAGAUUGAACCAUUCCAUACCUUUUGCUACCCUAGAUGCCGAGGAGCUCUCUGGUGCCCAUCCUGCUCAUGUACUACGAAGCUUUGGUAUUGAACGGGCCAAUUUCUGAAAAGGAAUUAGCAAAUACGACGACGACACGAGCCCGUCUUCUCCUUCUUCUUCUUCAUGUUUGGUUUUUUUUUUUGGAGAAGAUUGCAAAACUAUCAUCAGCUGAGACGUGUAGGAGAGAUUGCGUGUCUGCUAAUCUAUUCUUGCUUCCUCAAUCCUCACCCACCAAUUCAACUCGUCUAGAUCUCUUUCUCUUCUCCUCCCCCACGCGACGAAAGUAGAUUCAGAACACGGUCGCUAUGCUAGGGUUUGAAGAACUGACGAAGAAGAUUCAGAACCAACAUUGAGAUGCCUUACAAUAACAACAUCAAACAAACUGAUUGAACCCUAGAUGCCGACGAGCUAGCUCUCUGGUGCUCAUCCUGCUCUUGAAGUACUACGACAGAGCUCUCUGGUCUGGUUUAUAGUGCAGCCGGGAAAGUGGAUUUGGAUCUUCCAAUCAUAACACGCUUUUGGAUCAUCUGACUGGAGAGAACCCCUUCAAUGUUAAAGUUGCUCAAGUGGAUGAAACAUAGAACUCUCACAUACCUCUUGUAUGGAGAUGGAGAUAUCUCGACAAAGGCAGAUCAUUUGCUCGCUUUACCUAAGGUAACAAUUGUUAGAGCAUUUAAUUUCCCGCUGGAGAUGCCACCACUACUUCAACUGAUGGGGGGCAUUAUAAACAAACCUCUUCUUAGAGUGGACAGCAAGGUAAGCAUUGUAAUGGAGCUAUGGAGUUGGGUGGAAUGGAAGAUAAAUCUACAGAAGGAGAGCCAAGUGAUGUUUGUUCAGUUGACUGGGUGGAGUUGAGGAGGCUGCAAACUCAAAAAAGGCCAAGCAGGCCGACAAAGGCCCAAUAACAACAACUUCAGCCCAUCAAACAAGACAUGCCCAGGUCCGCGAAGGCGUGAAUAGAGAGUGAGAGAGAGCACUGAGCAUUCACCGCCGUACUGGUGUAACGGUACCAGCAGCAAUUCAUCUUCUCUCCUCCAUGGUUAUGUGUAGAGUGGCUGAGACGAGAGCUAUGGACUAGUUUGGGUCAGCGAGGCCAGGGAUAUGGUGGGGCUGGUUAAAAUCGAAGACUGUUGGCCAUGGAAGGUUGGUGAAUACUCAACAGCUUCCGGCUGAGGAUAUUAUGGAUUUACUCCUGAACAGCUUGUCAUAAUGUUGUGUCCAAGGAUGGAGGGGAGAACUACCUAAAGAAAGGUAUCACUGGACAUGAUGAUGACUUGCUACAGCGCAAGACCAUUAUAUUGUUUCUGAUUGAUUUUUUUAGAUGUGCACAUGAUCCAUGUAGACCAGGAGUCAAAGAUUCAGUUCAUCAGUGUCAAGGUCCGUAUGGUGGUGAUUCGUGACAAUAUCCAAACUGCUAGGGAUCUUGCUUAGGAGUGUGGAAUAUUAACUUCAGAUGCAUAUGCCUCUGAGCCUACUAUGAGAAGAAGACAAGGGCAUGUUGUUGAUGUGACAGGAGAUGGGAUAAAUGAUGCCCCUGCAUUACACGAGGCAGAUAUUGGUCGUUCUAUGGGAAUAGGAGGAACCGAAGUGGCUAAGGAGAGUUCGGAUAUCAUCAUCUUGGAUGACAACUUCGCUUCAGUUGUCAAGUGAGCUAUGGAGUUGGGUGAAAUCGAAGACAGUUGGCAAGAGAAGAUACAUAAGGAGCCAAGUGAAGAGCCGAGAUGUUUGUUCAGUUGACUGGUGGACUUGAGGAGGCUGCUUGCUUGCAGACCAAAGUCAAACUCAAAGCCAAGGUAAGCCUCCCAAUUGUUGUUAGAAGGU